rnacentral:rRNA from 1 species
UACGGGGGGGGGCAAGCGUUGUUCGGAAUUACUGGGCGUAAAGGGCUCGUAGGCGGCCAACUAAGUCAGACGUGAAAUCCCUCGGCUUAACCGGGGAACUGCGUCUGAUACUGGAUGGCUUGAGUUCGGGAGAGGGAUGCGGAAUUCCAGGUGUAGCGGUGAAAUGCGUAGAGAUCGGGAGGAACACCGGUGGCGAAGGCG